AUGAUUGACGCUCGUAAAUGGCAGGCGAAAAACGAGUCCAGCAAGUUAGAAAAAAUUCCAAGUGUAAUUUUCCGCCAUCGUACAAAACCCCCUCUGCCCAGGAGUUGCUCAUCUUUAGUUCUCAGAAAGAGAGGAGAAGUUGUUUGUGCAUAUUUUCUCAUCUGAGUAGUCUACAGGUCCUAGCAGACACAACGUCUCUGAUAUUCUCAGAGACCUAAAAGGACAUGGAUAUGAAGCCUCUGAUGAUUCUCCUCCUGCUAGCAGCAGCUGUCACCACCACCACCCCUGCAGCAGCUGUCACCACCACCACCCCUGCAGCCGCUGUCACCACCACCACUCCUCCAGCAGCUGUCACUACCACCACUCCUGCAGCAGCUGUCACCACCACCACUCCUGCAGCAGCUGUCACCACCACCACUCCAGUAGCAGCAGUCACCACCACCACUCCUGCAGCAGCUGUUACCACCACCACUCCUCCAGCAGCUGGUACCACCACCACUCCAGCAGCUGUCACCACCACCAGUCCUCCAGCAGCUGGUACCACCACCACUCCUCCAGCAGCUGGUACCACCACCACUCCUCCAGCAGCUGGUACCACCACCACUCCUCCAGCAGCUGGUACCACCACCACUCCUGCAGCAGCUGGUACCACCACCACUCCUCCAGCAGCUGUCACCACCACCACUCCUGCAGCAGCUGUCACCACCACCACUCCUGCAGCAGCUGUCACCACCACCACUCCUGCAGCAGCUGUCACCACCACCACUCCUGCAGCAGCUGUCACCACCACCACUCCUGCAGCAGCUGUCACCACCACCACUCCUGCAGCAGCUGUCACCACCACCACUCCUGCAGCAGCUGUCACUACCACCACUCCUGCAGCAGCUGUCACCACCACCACUCCUGCAGCAGCUGUCACUACCACCACUCCUGCAGGAGCUGUCACCACCACCACUCCUGCAGCAGCUGUCACUACCACCACUCCUGCAGCAGCUGUCACUAACACCAGUCCUGCAGCAGCUGUCACUACCACCACUCCUGCAGCAGCUGUCACCACCACCACUCCUGCAGCAGCUGUCACCACCACCACUCCUGCAGCAGCUGUCACCACCACCACUCCUGCAGC
ensembl:lncRNA